rnacentral:rRNA from 1 species
UGCAAGUCGCGCGGGAUCUUAUGCAUUGAAGCUUCGGUUGAUUUACAUAAGUGAGAGCGGCGCAAGGGAGAGUAACGCGUGGAUAUCUGCCCCUGGAUCCGGGAUAGCUGAGGGAAACUUCAGGUAAUACCGGAUAAUGUCCCAGGACCAAAGGUGUGAUUCCGUCCGGGGAUGAGUCCGCGUCCUAUUAGCUUGUUGGUGGGGUAAUGGCCUACCAAGGCAAAGAUGGGUACCGGGUGUGAGAGCAUGGCCCGGCUCACUGGGACUGAGACACUGCCCAGACACCUACGGGUGGCUGCAGUCGAGAAUCUUCCGCAAUGGACGAAAGUCUGACGGAGCGACGCCGCGUGCGGGAUGAAGGCCUUCGGGUUGUAAACCGCUGUCAGUUGGGAGGAAAUGCAUGUGGGCUAUCCCACAUGUUUGACCGAUUUUCAGAGGAAGUCCGGGCUACGUACGUGCCAGCAGCCGCGGUAACACGAACCGGACAAACGUUAUUCGGAAUCACUGGGCUUAAAGAGUCCGUAGGCGGCUUGGUAGGUGAUGUGUGAAAUCCCACGGCUCAACCGUGGAACUGCGCGUCAAACCACCCGGCUAGAGGGAGAUAGAGGAAAGCGGAACUGAUGGUGGAGCGGUGAAAUGCGUUGAUAUCAUCAGGAACACCGGUGGCGAAAGUGGCUUUCUGGGUCUCUUCUGACGCUGAGGGACGAAAGCUAGGGGAGCGAACGGGAUUAGAUACCCCGGUAGUCCUAGCUGUAAACGAUGAGCACUAGCUUGA